rnacentral:rRNA from 1 species
UAAAAAAAGGUAAGCUACUAAGAGCGAAUGGUGGAUGCCUUGACUGGUAAAGGCGAUGAAGGACGUACUAGACUGCGAUAAGCUACGGGGAGCUGUCAAGAAGCUUUGAUCCGCAGAUUUCCGAAUGGGGCAACCCAAUGUAUAGAGAUAUACAUUACCUAUAUAGGAGCGAACGAGGGGAAUUGAAACAUCUUAGUACCCUCAGGAAAAGAAAUCAAUAGAGAUUGCGUCAGUAGCGGCGAGCGAAAGCGCAAGAGGGCAAACCCAGUGCUUGCACUGGGGGUUGUAGGACUGCAAUGUGCAAGAGCUGAGUUUAGCAGAACAUUCUGGAAAGUAUAGCCAUAGAGGGUGAUAGUCCCGUAUGCGAAAAACAAAGCUUAGCUAGCAGUAUCCUGAGUAGGGCGGGACACGAGGAAUCCUGUCUGAAUCCGGGUCGACCACGAUCCAACCCUAAAUACUAAUACCAGAUCGAUAGUGCACAAGUACCGUGAGGGAAAGGUGAAAAGAACUGAGGUGAUCAGAGUGAAAUAGAACCUGAAACCAUUUGCUUACAAUCAUUCAGAGCACUAUGUAGCAAUACAGUGUGAUGGACUGCCUUUUGCAUAAUGAGCCUGCGAGUUGUGGUGUCUGGCAAGGUUAAGCAAACGCGAAGCCGUAGCGAAAGCGAGUCUGAAUAGGGCGCUUAGUCAGAUGCUGCAGACCCGAAACGAAGUGAUCUAUCCAUGAGCAAGUUGAAGCUAGUGUAAGAACUAGUGGAGGACUGAACCCAUAGGCGUUGAAAAGCCCCGGGAUGACUUGUGGAUAGGGGUGAAAGGCCAAUCAAACUUCGUGAUAGCUGGUUCUCUCCGAAAUAUAUUUAGGUAUAGCGUUGUGUCGUAAUAUAAGGGGGUAGAGCACUGAAUGGGCUAGGGCAUACACCAAUGUACCAAACCCUAUCAAACUCCGAAUACCUUAUAUGUAAUCACAGCAGUCAGGCGGCGAGUGAUAAAAUCCGUCGUCAAGAGGGAAACAACCCAGACUACCAGCUAAGGUCCCUAAAUCUUACUUAAGUGGAAAACGAUGUGAAGUUACUUAAACAACCAGGAGGUUGGCUUAGAAGCAGCCAUCCUUUAAAGAAAGCGUAAUAGCUCACUGGUCUAGUGAUUUUGCGCGGAAAAUAUAACGGGGCUAAAGUAAGUACCGAAGCUGUAGACUUGCACACAACUUAGAUUAUUUAAGUUUAGAAUAUGAGAAACUAAGUUAUAUGUUUAGUUAUAUUUUUACUGAUUUUUAUAGAGUAAAGAUAGAAAUAAAACUUAGUAAAAUCAGUAAAAAUAUUCUUAGGCUAAAGUUAAGUAGUUUAAGUUGUGUGCAAGUGGUAGGAGAGCGUUCUAUUUGCGUCGAAGGUAUACCGGUAAGGAGUGCUGGAGCGAAUAGAAGUGAGCAUGCAGGCAUGAGUAGCGAUAAUUAAUGUGAGAAUCAUUAACGCCGUAAACCCAAGGUUUCCUACGCGAUGCUCGUCAUCGUAGGGUUAGUCGGGUCCUAAGUCGAGUCCGAAAGGGGUAGACGAUGGCAAAUUGGUUAAUAUUCCAAUACCAACAUUAGUGUGCGAUGGAAGGACGCUUAGGGCUAAGGGGGCUAGCGGAUGGAAGUGCUAGUCUAAGGUUGUAGGAGGUUAUACAGGCAAAUCCGUAUAACAAUACUCCGAGAACUGAAAGGCUUUUUGAAGUCUUCGGAUGGAUAGAAGAACCCCUGAUGCCGUCGAGCCAAGAAAAGUUUCUAAGUUUAGCUAAUGUUGCCCGUACCGUAAACCGACACAGGUGGGUGGGAUGAGUAUUCUAAGGCGCGUGGAAGAACUCUCUUUAAGGAACUCUGCAAAAUAGCACCGUAUCUUCGGUAUAAGGUGUGGUUAGCUUCGUACUAGGAUUUACUCCGAAAGCGAAGAAACUUACAACAAAGAGUCCCUCCCGACUGUUUACCAAAAACACAGCACUCUGCUAACUCGUAAGAGGAUGUAUAGGGUGUGACGCCUGCCCGGUGCUCGAAGGUUAAUUGAUGGGGUUAGCAUUAGCGAAGCUCUUGAUCGAAGCCCGAGUAAACGGCGGCCGUAACUAUAACGGUCCUAAGGUAGCGAAAUUCCUUGUCGGUUAAAUACCGACCUGCAUGAAUGGCGUAACGAGAUGGGAGCUGUCUCAAAGAGGGAUCCAGUGAAAUUGUAGUGGAGGUGAAAAUUCCUCCUACCCGCGGCAAGACGGAAAGACCCCGUGGACCUUUACUACAGCUUGACACUGCUACUUGGAUAAGAAUGUGCAGGAUAGGUGGGAGGCUUUGAGUAUAUGACGCCAGUUGUAUAUGAGCCAUUGUUGAGAUACCACUCUUUCUUAUUUGGGUAGCUAACCAGCUUGAGUUAUCCUCAAGUGGGACAAUGUCUGGUGGGUAGUUUGACUGGGGCGGUCGCCUCCCAAAUAAUAACGGAGGCUUACAAAGGUUGGCUCAGAACGGUUGGAAAUCGUUCGUAGAGUAUAAAGGUAUAAGCCAGCUUAACUGCAAGACAUACAAGUCAAGCAGAGACGAAAGUCGGUCUUAGUGAUCCGGUGGUUCUGUGUGGAAGGGCCAUCGCUCAAAGGAUAAAAGGUACCCCGGGGAUAACAGGCUGAUCUCCCCCAAGAGCUCACAUCGACGGGGAGGUUUGGCACCUCGAUGUCGGCUCAUCGCAUCCUGGGGCUGGAGCAGGUCCCAAGGGUAUGGCUGUUCGCCAUUUAAAGCGGUACGCGAGCUGGGUUCAGAACGUCGUGAGACAGUUCGGUCCCUAUCUGCCGUGGGCGUAAGAAGAUUGAAGAGAUUUGACCCUAGUACGAGAGGACCGGGUUGAACAAACCACUGGUGUAGCUGUUGUUCUGCCAAGAGCAUCGCAGCGUAGCUAAGUUUGGAAAGGAUAAACGCUGAAAGCAUCUAAGCGUGAAGCCAACUCUAAGAUGAAUCUUCUCUAAGCUCUCUAGAAGACUACUAGUUUGAUAGGCUGGGUGUGUAAUGGAUGAAAGUCCUUUAGCUGACCAGUACUAAUAGAGCGUUUGGCUUAUCUUUAAUAAAGCAU